rnacentral:misc_RNA from 1 species
CCAAACUUGGUCAUUUAGAGGAAGUAAAAGUCGUAACAAGGUAACCGUAGGUGAACCUGCGGUUGGAUCAUUAGAGAAAGUAUGGUCUUUUUUUUUUUGGUUCCAAGGUAAUAUUUUAUUGUCCUUGGAAUCAAAAAAAAAAGUAUCAAUACACACCCCCCUUUUGUGAACCGGUUUGUUUUUUGUUUGUAUUUUGGCGGGUUCUGGGAUAGUGAAACCGUGGUUUUGCUCUCUUUCAGUCCCGUCAGAUUUUUAACCACACCAAUGUAUCAUAUGUCUCAUAAUGUCAACCAAAGGUUCAUGUAGAACCCUGAUUUAAAAAAAAAACAACUUUUGACAAUGGAUCUCUUGGCUCUCGCAUCGAUGAAGAACGCAGC